rnacentral:rRNA from 1 species
GUGAGGAAUAUUGGUCAAUGGGCGCAAGCCUGAACCAGCCAUGCCGCGUGCAGGAAGACGGUCCUAUGGAUUGUAAACUGCUUUUAUUUGGGAAUAAACUCCGGUACGUGUACCGGCCUGAAGGUACCAAAUGAAUAAGCACCGGCUAACUCCGUGCCAGCAGCCGCGGUAAUACGGAGGGUGCAAGCGUUAUCCGGAAUCAUUGGGUUUAAAGGGUCCGCAGGCGGUCUUAUAAGUCAGUUGUGAAAGCCUACAGCUCAACUGUAGAACUGCCAUUGAUACUGUAGGACUUGAAUUCGAUCGAAGUGGGCGGAAUGUGACAUGUAGCGGUGAAAUGCUUAGAUAUGUCACAGAACACCGAUAGCGAAGGCAGCUCACUAGGUCUGGAUUGACGCUCAGGGACGAAAGCGUGGGGAGCAAACAGGAUUAGAUACCCUAGUAGUCC